GACGAACGCUGGCGGCGUGCUUAACACAUGCAAGUCGAACGGGAUCCUAAGGCUUUUUGUCUUUGGUGUGAGUGGCGAACGGGUGAGUAACACGUGAGUAACCUGCCCCCUUCUUUUGGAUAACCGCAUGAAAGUGUGGCUAAUACAGGAUAUUCUAGGCUGGUCGCAUGAUUGGUUUGGGAAAUGGUUUGGUCUGUUGGGGGAUGGGCUCGCGGCCUAUCGGCUUGUUGGUGGGGUGAUGGCCUUCGAAGGCGGUGACGGGUAGCAGGCCGGAGAGGGUGGGCGGGCAUGCGAGGAUGGAGAGACGCCCCAGAACUGAGCGAGAGGCAGGAGUUGUGGAGGAAGCACAAGGGGCGAAAGUCGGAUGCUGGGCCGCAGCGUGAGGGAGGAAGGCCUUGGGGGUGAAGAACUCUUUCGCGGGGUUGAGAGGCCAUGCUUUGGGUGUGGUUGAUUUGAACUGGUAAAGAAGUACCGGCUAACUACGUG
rnacentral:rRNA from 1 species